ensembl:lncRNA
CCCCCAUCCCACCGCCUUUAUCUCCUGCACCAUCUGUUUCUAGAAAUGUGCUUUGCUCCUUCCCAUGGAGAACCAACUCUCUCUGCCCUUGGUUCCCUCCAGCUCCCCUAUCUCCUCCUUCCUAGCCAAAGUUCUCAGUUUCCACUCCUUAUCUCUCAUUAUCUCCUCAAACCACACCAAUUAACUUCUGUCUCCACCCCUUGCUUAAUGGAAACAGCUCUAUUCAGCAUCACAAUACCUUUGCUAAACCCAGAAGUUAGGUCCUCUCCUUCAGCCCCUCCCAUCCUUCAGCUCAGUGGCCGCCCGCCUCCUACCACAGGCUCCCAUCGCCUAGCCUGCUCCGCUUUUCCUUCCACCUCCCUGGUUGUGCCUCAGUUUACUUGGCCAAUCCCACUUUCUCUGCUCAGCUGCUAAGUCGUGAGUCACCCUGAGCCUUGUUCUCUUUCUCGCUCUUUUUUUUUUUUUGGCCACUCAAUGUGAUUUACUGGAUCUUCCUUAGUUCCCUGGCCAGUGUCCUCUGCAGCAAAAGCUUGGAGUCCUGACCACCAGACUACCAGGGAAUUCCCAGAACCUUGUUCCUUUACAAGGCUACAUUCUUGGCCAGUCUCCUGGCUUUAGAUUCAAAAAUCCAUUUCUCCACCACUGACCUCACCCCUGAGCUCUAAGCUCAUUUCCAGUUGAUGACUUGAUGCCUCUACCACACAGAUCUCCAAUGGCCACUGGGCUCGGCCUAUGACUUCUUCUGGCCAGUGAAAUGCAGGAGGGAAUGACAUCACCACACUUUUUCCUUUUCCGUGUUAACCAGCAAUAUUCAAAAAUCGACCUGGGUCCCAGAGAAAAAUGGUGGGAAGCAGAGCCACACCCAACCCACAGCAGACAUACAACAGAAGUGAGCACCGUUUCCUGUGUGAACUCACUGCGGUUUGUGGGGGAGCUUUUUACCACAGUAUAAUCUAGCCUCUCCUGACUACAUACACCUCAUAAGGUCGUGAAAUCCAAUAAGGCCCACAACUAAUCUCUUUCCCAACCUCCUCUGCAUGUAGAAGUGGCCACAUGACUGACUGGCAGCCAAUUGAUGGGAGUGGAUGUAGCUGGUGCCAGUUCCCUGCCAUCCAAUAAACCAGCCUUGAGCAGUCCUCCCACUGCACCUCUGCCUACGUGAGAUGCAAGCAAGCAAGGUCCGCUUGGAAGAUCUGUGUUGAAAAUCGUUCCCACUUGGCUGAAUUUCCUGGUGGCUCAGAUGGAAAAGAAUCUGCCUGCAAUGCAAGAUUUCUGGGUUUGGUACCUGGAUUGGGAAGAUCCCCUGGAGGAGGAAAUGCAGUCACGUAUGGAUGUGAGUGUUGGAUCACAAAGGCUGGAUGCCAGAGAAUUGAUGCUUUUGAACUGUGGUGCUGGAGAAGACUUUUGAGAAUCCCUUGAAGAGCAAGGAGAUCCAACCAGUCAAUCCUAAAGGAAACCAACCCUGAAUAUUCAACUGGAAGGACGGAUGCUGAAGCUCCAAUCCUUUGGCCACCUGAU